rnacentral:rRNA from 1 species
CUGUUCGCCAUUUAAAGAGGUACGUGAGCUGGGUUUAAAACGUCGUGAGACAGUUUGGUCCCUAUCUGCCGUGGGCGUUGGAUAUUUGAAGGGGGCUGCUCCUAGUACGAGAGGACCGGAGUGGACGAACCUCUGGUGUACCGGUUGUCACGCCAGUGGCAUCGCCGGGUAGCUAUGUUCGGAAGAGAUAACCGCUGAAAGCAUCUAAGCGGGAAACUCGCCUUAAGAUGAGAUAUCCCUGGGGACUAGAUCCCCUUGAAGGGUCGUUCGAGACCAGGACGUUGAUAGGUCAGGUGUGUAAGCGCAGUAAUGCGUUCAGCUAACUGAUACUAAUUGCCCGUAAGGCUUGAUCCUAUAACAG